GGUAGGGGAUGGAACAGGAGUUGGACCACUCAGGGACCAUUUGAUCCCUUCUUGACUGCAUUUAUUUAUUUUGGAAGUAAUGGUGCACUAAGAGCUGGGUCCCUUUUGUGUGCCCAUUGUUUCACGAUUCAAUCAAGCAAUGUGAAGGUUGAUGUAUCUCCCAUGUAACUGGAUCGAUGAAUGUCAUCGGGAUAAAUCGAAAUAUUUCAAAAUUUAAUUUAAAAUAAUAAAGAAGAUAUUACCACAAUCUAGCUUGAUAUAUUGAUUGGUGAUGUCAUUUCAAGCGUCAAGUUAUGAUUUUAUGUUGAUUGUAUAGGAGCUCGCAAUGAAAUUUAUUGGAAGGAGGACCGACCCAGACUAAUAAACCUAUAUAACAUCCUUUUUAUUAGUUGAUACGGGACUAUGAGAAGCAGGAGCCUUCUACAUGAAUGUGCGACACCUCAUGUUGAUUUUUGUUAGCAAGAUAACAAGGUUGGGAUUUUAUAUAUAAAAUCAACUAGUGGCCAAUACCAAUAAAAUUCAUUAUGCUACCAAAACGUUGUAUAUGAUGUAGGCAUGUGUCCAUUUAAUAUUGUGGAUUUGACGUACCAUGUAAGCAAGUGUAGCUAUACAUAUUGC
rnacentral:lncRNA from 1 species